UAGAUGGAAGCUCGUUGGUUUGAGCACUUAGCUGUUAACUAAGAGGUUGAAGGAUCAAAGCCUUCCCAUCUAG
rnacentral:tRNA from 1 species